UAUACAUGCAAGUCGAGCGGACAGAAGGGAGCUUGCUCCCGGGAUGUAGCGGCGGACGGGUGAGUAACACGUGGGUAACCUGCCUGUAAGACUGGGAUAACUCCGGGAAACCGGAGCUAAUACCGGAUAGUUCCUUGAACCGCAUGGUUCAAGGAUGAAAGACGGUUUCGGCUGUCACUUACAGAUGGACCGCGGCGCAUAGCUAGUUGGUGAGGUAACGGCUCACCAAGGCGACGAUGCGUAGCCGACCUGAGAGGGUGAUCGGCCACACUGGGACUGAGACACGGCCCAGACUCCUACGGGAGGCAGCAGUAGGGAAUCUUCCGCAAUGGACGAAAGUCUGACGGAGCAACGCCGCGUGAGUGAUGAAGGUUUUCGGAUCGUAAAGCUCUGUUGUUAGGGAAGAACAAGUGCAAGAGUAACUGCUUGCACCUUGACGGUACCUAACCAGAAAGCCACGGCUAACUACGUGCCAGCAGCCGCGGUAAUACGUAGGUGGCAAGCGUUGUCCGGAAUUAUUGGGCGUAAAGGGCUCGCAGGCGGUUUCUUAAGUCUGAUGUGAAAGCCCCCGGCUCAACCGGGGAGGGUCAUUGGAAACUGGGAAACUUGAGUGCAGAAGAGGAGAGUGGAAUUCCACGUGUAGCGGUGAAAUGCGUAGAGAUGUGGAGGAACACCAGUGGCGAAGGCGACUCUCUGGUCUGUAACUGACGCUGAGGAGCGAAAGCGUGGGGAGCGAACAGGAUUAGAUACCCUGGUAGUCCACGCCGUAAACGAUGAGUGCUAAGUGUUAGGGGGUUUCCGCCCCUUAGUGCUGCAGCUAACGCAUUAAGCACUCCGCCUGGGGAGUACGGUCGCAAGACUGAAACUCAAAGGAAUUGACGGGGGCCCGCACAAGCGGUGGAGCAUGUGGUUUAAUUCGAAGCAACGCGAAGAACCUUACCAGGUCUUGACAUCCUCUGACAACCCUAGAGAUAGGGCUUUCCCUUCGGGGACAGAGUGA
rnacentral:rRNA from 1 species